rnacentral:rRNA from 1 species
UACGAAGGGGGCUAGCGUUGCUCGGAAUCACUGGGCGUAAAGGGUGCGUAGGCGGGUUUUUAAGUCAGAGGUGAAAUCCUGGAGCUCAACUCCAGAACUGCCUUUGAUACUGAAGAUCUUGAGUUCGGGAGAGGUGAGUGGAACUGCGAGUGUAGAGGUGAAAUUCGUAGAUAUUCGCAAGAACACCAGUGGCGAAGGCGGCUCACUGGCCCGGUACUGACGCUGAGGUGCGAAAGCGUGGGGAGCAAACAGG